CGGUGAUUAGCGCAGCUUGGUAGCGCACUUGGUUUGGGUCCAAGGGGUCGCAGGUUCAAAUCCUGCAUCACCGACCA
rnacentral:tRNA from 3 species